CGGGCGUAGAUCACCUUAGCUUCCCAAGCUGAGAGCGCGAGUUCGAUUCUCGUCACCCGCUCCA
rnacentral:tRNA from 1 species